UACGUAGGUGGCAAGCGUUGUCCGGAUUUACUGGGCGUAAAGAGCGCGCAGGCGGUCGACCAAGUCGCGUGUGAAAGCCCCCGGCUCAACUGGGGAGGGUCACGCGAUACUGAUCGACUCGAAGGCAGGAGAGGGUAGUGGAAUUCCCGGUGUAGUGGUGAAAUGCGUAGAUAUCGGGAGGAACACCAGUGGCGAAGGCGACUACCUGGCCUGUUCUUGACGCUGAGGCGGCGAAAGCUAGGGGAGCAAACGGG
rnacentral:rRNA from 1 species